rnacentral:tRNA from 1 species
GGGAGUGUAGCUCAGUAGGUAGAGCAACGCACUUUUAAUGCGUAGGUCUUGGGUUCGAGCCCCAACACUCUCA